rnacentral:tRNA from 1 species
UCUGGGUUGGCCGAGUGGUUAAGGCGUUGGACUUAAGUUCCAAUGGACAAGUGUCCGCGUGGGUUCGAACCCCACACGCAGUA